rfam:Burkholderiales bacterium RIFCSPHIGHO2_12_63_9 rifcsphigho2_12_sub10_scaffold_5748, whole genome shotgun sequence.
CCUCGUAUACGACUACGAGUAGCCUACGGUGACGUGCCGGACCAGCAAUGGACCGGUGCGAAGCUCACCUGACAACGUAUCCCCCGCGCAAGCGGUGGUCUGUAUCCGCGAGGAUUCAGACCAGACACUGCCAGCAGUACGGCGGUAGAGGGG